AUUGAACGCUGGCGGCAGGCCUAACACAUGCAAGUCGAACGAGUGGCGGACGAGUGAGUAAUGUCUGGGAAACUGCCUGAUGGAGGGGGAUCACUACUGGACACGGUAGCUUACACCGCAUACCCUCGGAUGUGCCCAGAUGGGAUUAGCUAGUAGGUGGGGUAAAGGCUCACCUAGGCGACGAUCCCUAGCUGGUCUGAGAGGAUGACCAGCCACACGGGAACUGAGACACUGUCCAGACUCCUACGGGAGGCAGCAGUGGGGAAUAUUGCACAAUGGGCGCAAGCCUGAUGCAGCCAUGCCGCGUGUAUGAAGAAGGCCUUCGGGUUGUAAAGUACUUUCAGCGGGGAGGCGUUACCCGCAGAAGAAGCACCGGCUAACUCCGUGCCAGCAGCCGCGGUAAUUC
rnacentral:rRNA from 1 species